UUGAAUAAACCUGAUGUGACUGUUAGCUGGCUUUUCGAAGCAUGUGCUCGUCCAUCAUCUUUAAUCUCUCCACCUGUGCACAUUUUGUAGUCUUGGAUACCUCUCGAGGCAACUCGGAUUUUUAGGAUCGCCGUGCUGUACAAGUCGGCUUUUCUUUCAUUUCCAAGACUAUGUUUUUAUAUACACCAAAGUAUGUUUAAAGAAUGUCAUUAAUAGGAACUUGUUUCCUAUAAAAUUAUA
rnacentral:misc_RNA from 1 species